GGGGAUUUAGCUCAGUGGCAUAAGCGCCUGCCUUGCAAGCAGGUAGUUAGUUAUGAGUUCGAUCCCCA
rnacentral:tRNA from 1 species